GAUUAUGGCUCAGGAUGAACGCUAGCUACAGGCCUAACACAUGCAAGUCGAGGGGCAGCAGAUCGAAAGCUUGCUUUGAUGCUGGCGACCGGCGAAUGGGUGAGUCACGCGUGUCCAACCUGCCCCCCGCCCGGGGAUAGCCCUUGGAAAUGAGGAUUAAGACCCGAUAGGUGCGCCUUCCGCAUGGCGAGCGCAUGAAACUGGCGAGGGAUGGGGACGCGUCGGAUUAGCUUGACGGCGGGGCAACGGCCCACCGUGGCGACGAUCCGCAGGGGUUCUGAGAGGAAGGUCCCCCACACUGGCACUGAGACACGGGCCAGACUCCUACGGGAGGCAGCAGUGAGGAAUAUUGGUCAAUGGCCGAGAGGCUGAACCAGCCAAGUAGCGUGCAAGGAUGACGGCCCUACGGGUUGUAGACUGCUUUUGCGGGAGGAUAAAGUGCGCCACGCGUGGCGCUUUGCAGGCAUCCCGUGAAUAAGGACCGGCUAAUUCCGUGCCAGCCGCCGC
rnacentral:rRNA from 1 species